rnacentral:lncRNA from 1 species
UACCUUUACAUAUAACUUGCAAGAAAAUAUUUUAAAAAGAUUGAAACAGAAACACGGUGUUUUAGAAAAUAAAAUGCAAGAUUUUACCUUUAUUUAGAAUCAUAAACACUUAUGAAGUGCUAACUCUACUUCCUGGAUAAGCUUAGACUUUUCGUAGGCAUUUCAUCAAACACGUAAUUUUUUUUUCGAAAUUAGUUGGAGCCUAUCUUGCAACCCUUUUUCAGAAACGAGUUUGUAGAGAAUAUCCAUAAUUCUUUUAUCAAUAUCAAUUGCAACAACCUAUUUUAGCAGCCUCAAGGAGCUUGACAAUAAGAUUUUCCGAUCCCGAGUCUAAUUUCUAAGAGGUGCCGGGAGGUCAUACAUAAGAUCUUCGAACAAUAGCGUCGAGAAUUUGAGUGUUGGUGAGGAGAUGUUGACCCUUGCUCUUAUACAAAUAUAAAUGGUCUUGUUGAUUUUCUUCUGUGUUUCGAGUUUUCUGAUUUUUGUCAUCAUCAUCAUUAUUUUGGCGAGAAUAAUGAUUGGAUUUUGUGCUGAGAUUUCGUUGAGAGCCUUGGAGGAAAAUUAACCAAGAAAGGUGGAUCGGAGUCUUGAAAAGCAUUGGUUUUAGCAAUCGUUUUAGGGAGAUUUAUGAACAAGAAAAGAUUUAAAUGAAAACAAUUUUUUAAUAUUUUAAAUAAAAAUUUAAAAGUUUUUAUUAAAAAUGAAUAAAUCAAAAAUUAAAAUUGAUAGAUUAAAAAAAUUUAUUAUAUAAAUUAAAUAUGUAAAAUUUUAAAAAAUUUUAAUAUAUUUUAAAUAAAUCUUUUAAAAAAUAAAUUAAUAAAAUUUUUAUCUUUAAAUAAAUAUCGAUUAAAUUAAAUUAUAAAUAAUAUUUUUAAUUUUUAUAUAUUAUUAAUUUUUAUAUUAAAUUUUACCAAUUUAUUAAUUUAAAUUUUUAUUAAAUUAUUUAAAAAAUAAUUUCUAAAUUUCAUCUAAAAAAUGUAGGUAUUGUUCUUGAUCAACCACGACAAAGAACGAUGCGGGCAGCGGGAGUUUCGAAACUUUGGUUUUAGUUUUAAAAUUUUUUUAUGCGGUUUUGGAGGAUUUGAACCAUUAAAAAAAAUGAGGUCGGGAGUAGCCCUAAAAAGGUUGCAUUUUGAGUUUUUUUAGCUCCGACGGACCACGACGGUAAUCGGAAAAGAUGAAGUAACUGCCGAUCGACCCCUCUCCCUUCUCUUCCUUUUCUACUCUCAAUUUUUUUUUUCAUUUUUCAAAAAUAUAUUAGAAAAUUUUAAAAUAAUUUUAACCAAUUAAUUGUAACAUGUGAAAUUCAAUUCCCAAAAAUUUUUAUACAAAAUGCUUUUUAUGUCACAUUUUCUUUUAUGCUAUCUCAGCAAUAGUUGUGUACUUCAUUUUAUGUGUUAUUAUGAUAUUUAAACAGGUACGAUGAUUUGUGUAUUUAAAUUAUAUAAAAUAUUAAUUUUUAUUAUAUUUCAUAUGAAAAUAUAUAUUAUAAUUUAUGUUGAUAUUAAAAUAUAAAUUAUAUAUUUUUAUUUUAUUAAAUUAUAUAUAAUUUUGUU